rnacentral:rRNA from 1 species
GGGUUGUGAGGUUAAGCGACUAAGCGUACACGGUGGAUGCCCUGGCAGUCAGAGGCGAUGAAGGACGUGCUAAUCUGCGAUAAGCGUCGGUAAGGUGAUAUGAACCGUUAUAACCGGCGAUUUCCGAAUGGGGAAACCCAGUGUGAUUCGUCACACUAUCAUUAACUGAAUCCAUAGGUUAAUGAGGCGAACCGGGGGAACUGAAACAUCUAAGUACCCCGAGGAAAAGAAAUCAACCGAGAUUCCCCCAGUAGCGGCGAGCGAACGGGGAGGAGCCCAGAGCCUGAAUCAGUGUGUGUGUUAGUGGAAGCGUCUGGAAAGGCGCGCGAUACAGGGUGACAGCCCCGUACACAAAAAUGCACAUGCUGUGAGCUCGAUGAGUAGGGCGGGACACGUGGUAUCCUGUCUGAAUAUGGGGGGACCAUCCUCCAAGGCUAAAUACUCCUGACUGACCGAUAGUGAACCAGUACCGUGAGGGAAAGGCGAAAAGAACCCCGGCGAGGGGAGUGAAAAAGAACCUGAAACCGUGUACGUACAAGCAGUGGGAGCACGCUUAGGCGUGUGACUGCGUACCUUUUGUAUAAUGGGUCAGCGACUUAUAUUCUGUAGCAAGGUUAACCGAAUAGGGGAGCCGAAGGGAAACCGAGUCUUAACUGGGCGUUAAGUUGCAGGGUAUAGACCCGAAACCCGGUGAUCUAGCCAUGGGCAGGUUGAAGGUUGGGUAACACUAACUGGAGGACCGAACCGACUAAUGUUGAAAAAUUAGCGGAUGACUUGUGGCUGGGGGUGAAAGGCCAAUCAAACCGGGAGAUAGCUGGUUCUCCCCGAAAGCUAUUUAGGUAGCGCCUCGUGAAUUCAUCUCCGGGGGUAGAGCACUGUUUCGGCAAGGGGGUCAUCCCGACUUACCAACCCGAUGCAAACUGCGAAUACCGGAGAAUGUUAUCACGGGAGACACACGGCGGGUGCUAACGUCCGUCGUGAAGAGGGAAACAACCCAGACCGCCAGCUAAGGUCCCAAAGUCAUGGUUAAGUGGGAAACGAUGUGGGAAGGCCCAGACAGCCAGGAUGUUGGCUUAGAAGCAGCCAUCAUUUAAAGAAAGCGUAAUAGCUCACUGGUCGAGUCGGCCUGCGCGGAAGAUGUAACGGGGCUAAACCAUGCACCGAAGCUGCGGCAGCGACGCUUAUGCGUUGUUGGGUAGGGGAGCGUUCUGUAAGCCUGUGAAGGUGUGCUGUGAGGCAUGCUGGAGGUAUCAGAAGUGCGAAUGCUGACAUAAGUAACGAUAAAGCGGGUGAAAAGCCCGCUCGCCGGAAGACCAAGGGUUCCUGUCCAACGUUAAUCGGGGCAGGGUGAGUCGACCCCUAAGGCGAGGCCGAAAGGCGUAGUCGAUGGGAAACAGGUUAAUAUUCCUGUACUUGGUGUUACUGCGAAGGGGGGACGGAGAAGGCUAUGUUGGCCGGGCGACGGUUGUCCCGGUUUAAGCGUGUAGGCUGGUUUUCCAGGCAAAUCCGGAAAAUCAAGGCUGAGGCGUGAUGACGAGGCACUACGGUGCUGAAGCAACAAAUGCCCUGCUUCCAGGAAAAGCCUCUAAGCAUCAGGUAACAUCAAAUCGUACCCCAAACCGACACAGGUGGUCAGGUAGAGAAUACCAAGGCGCUUGAGAGAACUCGGGUGAAGGAACUAGGCAAAAUGGUGCCGUAACUUCGGGAGAAGGCACGCUGAUAUGUAGGUGAAGCGACUUGCUCGUGGAGCUGAAAUCAGUCGAAGAUACCAGCUGGCUGCAACUGUUUAUUAAAAACACAGCACUGUGCAAACACGAAAGUGGACGUAUACGGUGUGACGCCUGCCCGGUGCCGGAAGGUUAAUUGAUGGGGUCAGCGCAAGCGAAGCUCUUGAUCGAAGCCCCGGUAAACGGCGGCCGUAACUAUAACGGUCCUAAGGUAGCGAAAUUCCUUGUCGGGUAAGUUCCGACCUGCACGAAUGGCGUAAUGAUGGCCAGGCUGUCUCCACCCGAGACUCAGUGAAAUUGAACUCGCUGUGAAGAUGCAGUGUACCCGCGGCAAGACGGAAAGACCCCGUGAACCUUUACUAUAGCUUGACACUGAACAUUGAGCCUUGAUGUGUAGGAUAGGUGGGAGGCUUUGAAGUGUGGACGCCAGUCUGCAUGGAGCCGACCUUGAAAUACCACCCUUUAAUGUUUGAUGUUCUAACGUUGACCCGUAAUCCGGGUUGCGGACAGUGUCUGGUGGGUAGUUUGACUGGGGCGGUCUCCUCCUAAAGAGUAACGGAGGAGCACGAAGGUUGGCUAAUCCUGGUCGGACAUCAGGAGGUUAGUGCAAUGGCAUAAGCCAGCUUGACUGCGAGCGUGACGGCGCGAGCAGGUGCGAAAGCAGGUCAUAGUGAUCCGGUGGUUCUGAAUGGAAGGGCCAUCGCUCAACGGAUAAAAGGUACUCCGGGGAUAACAGGCUGAUACCGCCCAAGAGUUCAUAUCGACGGCGGUGUUUGGCACCUCGAUGUCGGCUCAUCACAUCCUGGGGCUGAAGUAGGUCCCAAGGGUAUGGCUGUUCGCCAUUUAAAGUGGUACGCGAGCUGGGUUUAGAACGUCGUGAGACAGUUCGGUCCCUAUCUGCCGUGGGCGCUGGAGAACUGAGGGGGGCUGCUCCUAGUACGAGAGGACCGGAGUGGACGCAUCACUGGUGUUCGGGUUGUCAUGCCAAUGGCACUGCCCGGUAGCUAAAUGCGGAAGAGAUAAGUGCUGAAAGCAUCUAAGCACGAAACUUGCCCCGAGAUGAGUUCUCCCUGACUCCUUGAGAGUCCUGAAGGAACGUUGAAGACGACGACGUUGAUAGGCCGGGUGUGUAAGCGCAGCGAUGCGUUGAGCUAACCGGUACUAAUGAACCGUGAGGCUUAACCUUACAACGCCGAAGCUGUU